GCGCUUGUGGCUCUGAGGAAGAGCGCCAUCCCUGUGGAGGAUGGAGGAGCUGGUUCGAUUCCAGCCGAGCGCG
rnacentral:tRNA from 1 species